AUUGAACGCUGGCGGCAUGCUUUACACAUGCAAGUCGAACGGUAACAGGCCUUCGGGUGCUGACGAGUGGCGAACGGGUGAGUAAUGCAUCGGAACGUGCCCAGAGGUGGGGGAUAACGCAGCGAAAGCUGUGCUAAUACCGCAUGUGAUCUGAGGAUGAAAGCGGGGGACCAGGCAGCAAUGUUUGGCCUCGCGCCUUUGGAGCGGCCGAAGUCAGAUUAGGUAGUUGGUGGGGUAAAGGCCUACCAAGCCGACGAUCUGUAGCUGGUCUGAGAGGACGACCAGCCACACUGGGACUGAGACACGGCCCAGACUCCUACGGGAGGCAGCAGUGGGGAAUUUUGGACAAUGGGCGCAAGCCUGAUCCAGCAAUGCCGCGUGCGGGAAGAAGGCCUUCGGGUUGUAAACCGCUUUUGUACGGAACGAAAAGGCUCUGGCUAAUACCUGGGGCUGAUGACGGUACCGUAAGAAUAAGCACCGGCUAACUACGUG
rnacentral:rRNA from 1 species